rnacentral:rRNA from 1 species
GACAGAGGGGGCAAGCGUUGCUCGGAAUUACUGGGCGUAAAGGGCGCGUAGGCGGAAUGGCAAGUCGGUCGUGAAAUCCUUCGGCUCAACCGAAGAACGUCGAUCGAAACUGCCGUUCUUGAGGAUUGCAGAGGGGACUGGAAUUCCCGGUGUAGCGGUGAAAUGUGUAGAGAUCGGGAGGAACACCGGUGGCGAAGGCGGGUCUCUGGGCAAUUCCUGACGCUGAGGCGCGAAAGCGUGGGGAGCAAACGGG